rnacentral:rRNA from 1 species
CCUACGGGAGGCAGCAGUGAGGAAUAUUGGACAAUGGGCUUACGCCUGAACCAGCCAAGUCGCGUGAGGGAAGACUGCCCUAUGGGUUGUAAACCCCGUUUGUCAGGGAGCAAUUGGCGCUACGUGUAGCGUUAUCGAGAGUACCUGAAGAAAAAGCAUCGGCUAACUCCGUGCCAGCAGCCGCGGUAAUACGGAGGAUGCGAGCGUUAUCCGGAUUUAUUGGGUUUAAAGGGUGCGUAGGCGGCAUGCCAAGUCAGCGGUAAAAUCGCGGGGCUCAACCCCGCUCCGCCGUUGAUACUGGCGUUCUUGAGUGGGAGAGAGGUAUGCGGAAUGCGUGGUGAAGCGGUGAAAUGCGUAGAUAUCACGAAGAACUCCGAUUGCGAAGGCAGCAUACCGGCGCCCAACUGACGCUGAGGCACGAAAGCGUGGGUAGCGAACAGGAUUAGAUACCCCAGUAGUC